rnacentral:rRNA from 1 species
CCUUUAGAUGUUCUGGGCCGCACGCGUGCUACACUGAGUGGAUCAGCGGGUCAGGUUGCGCGAAAGUGUUUCCUAAUCUUGAAAUCCGCUCGUGAUGGGGAUUGACGGUUGCAAUUUUCCGUCAUGAACGAGGAAUACCUUGUAAGCGCGGGUCAUCAUCCCGCGCUGAAUACGUCCCUGCCCUUUGUACACACCGCCCGUCGCUCCUACCGAUUGAGUGGUCCGGUGAGGCUUUGGGAUCUGAGCGGAAAGAGCGUUUCGCUGUUUCUGCUCGGAAAACUCAGUCGAACCUUAUCAUUUAGAGGAAGGAGAAGUCGUAACA